rnacentral:rRNA from 1 species
AUUGAACGCUGGCGGCGUGCCUUACACAUGCAAGUCGAACGGCAGCACGGACUUCGGUCUGGUGGCGAGUGGCGAACGGGUGAGUAAUAUAUCGGGACAUGCCUUGUAGUGGGGGAUAACUAUCCGAAAGGAUAGCUAAUACCGCAUACGCUCUAAGGAGGAAAGCGGGGGAUCGUAAGACCUCGUGCUAUAAGAGUGGCCGAUAUCUGAUUAGCUAGUUGGUGAGGUAAAGGCUCAACAAGGCGACGAUCAGUAGCUGGUCUGAGAGGACGACCAGCCAAACUGGAACGGAGACACGGUCCAGACUCCUACGGGAGGCAGCAGUGGGGAAUUUUGGACAAUGGGGGCAACCCUGAUCCAGCAAUGCCGCGUGAGUGAAGAAGGCCUUCGGGUUGUAAAGCUCUUUUGUCAGGGAAGAAACGGUUGUGGCUAAUAUCCAUGGCUAAUGACGGUACCUGAAGAAUAAGCACCGGCUAACUACGUGCCAGCCGCCGCCGUAAAAC